GACAGAGGAUGCAAGCGUUAUCCAGAAUGAUUGGGCGUAAAGCAUCUGUAGGUGGCUUUUCAAGUCCGCCGUCAAAUCCCAGGGCUCAACCCUGGACAGGCGGUGGAAACUACCAAGCUAGAGUACGGUAGGGGCAGAGGGAAUUUCCGGUGGAGCGGUGAAAUGCAUUGAGAUCGGAAAGAACACCAACGGCGAAAGCACUCUGCUGGGCCGACACUGACACUGAGAGAUGAAAGCUAGGGGAGCAAAUGGG
rnacentral:rRNA from 1 species